GUCCCUCCCCACGCGGCGGCCCCCGGGCCGGGAGCGGCCGACUGGAAGGCCGCGGCCGGGAGGCCCCCUGGAGGCCUGCUGGGAAAUGGCGGCAGGAACGGCGGGUGCGUGGGUCCCCUAAGGGAGGCAGCCCUGAGAGGAAGUCGGGACGAACUUUGUUCCCUAGGAGAAGCCCAUCGUGGGCCCAGAGUACCCGAGAAGGCUUUUAACUCUGCCUGGGGCUGCUUGUCAUCUAUAUGAAGCUCUCCAAAGGCAACUUAGCCCAUCCUACAAUUCAGAAUAACCCCAAAUCCUUUACAAUCUUUUCUACUUUAUUUGAGAUUCACCAUUCAAGAUUCAAACAGACAGGAGUUUAUACACAGAGUGGGCAAGAGUGCGGAGAAACUUUGGCACCAUGUGCCCCUUAAUAUCUUCCAGGUCAUCACCAUCAACCUCAGGACCUUAAAGUGGAAAGAGCUUAAAAUAAAAGCUCCCAAAGAGAAGACAGUGAGGGGCUAGGACACACAAAAAGCUGCUGGAUGAAAUCACAUAAUUAUGGUGAUCAGACUUCUACAAAUGUACUAUCUCCAACCUCCAGAAGAGCCAUGAGAGAUUUCUAAGAAGACAUGUACCAUGAAAGCAGUGCUUAAGCUAAUCUGGCAGGUGUGCACAGAACAGACUGAAGAAGAAACAAAUAAAUAUGAUAAAACAAGUGAAGAGGCAGUGGUCCAGGGGUGAGGCAAUGAGAGAAGAAGAAGGAAAAAAUAAAUUCCAC